UAAAUUAAACUAUGUAUAUGUAGUGGUCUUAAUAAGUUCUUAUAAUGUGAAAAUGCCUGAAAAAAUUGGUAAAGAGAUGUGAAGUUAGAGGAAAGGGGGCAAAAGGAAGGCACCGCAUCACAAUGAGCCUAUACUUAUCAUCACUCCGGAAAAUGUAUUAAUGAUAAUUGAAUAAGCUCUGGUCGUAGAGAUUCCCAAUCUUUUAAACAAAUAUGGCGGCUUAAAAGCCUCCUAAAAAAAUGAAAUGCGUGUAAACUUGGCGCGCGGUUGAUAUACUAUGGGCCUCCGUAGCUGAGGGAUUUUUCUCUGCGGAGCACAAAAAUCCCCGAAGCGUAGAUUAAUAAAAGUAGAGACUCAACGCACACGGUGUGCGAUCAUCAUGUGUGUUAGUUAUACUAGCUAACACUGAAGACCAUCGGGUCUUCCUGCGUUCCUGAAAAUAGAAGAUCUGCCUAUCGAGGCAGAUCUAUUUUCAGGAACGCAGGAACGUGUGUACAACCAUAGACGUACAAUUUUCGCUUUGUACAACGGUUUUAUUUAAAAGUGACAGUUGUUAUAUGUAUUUGACAGUUCAUAAGUACAACAGUUUACCUACCACAGAUUAGAUUAGGCCCGAUUUACAUUAGGUCGCAAAUGGGACAUAAAUGCACUAUCAACUUCUAAUCAUAAGCGUUAACAAUUUUUUUGGCAAGUUUGAAUGUUAUAUAAUCUUUUUUUACUGUUUCAAAUGUAAUUUGUUUUGUUUACAUGAUUGGGAAUCUCUAUCAGACUAGAAUUAGAUGUACUCUAGCUUUUGUAACUCGUGUUUUGUCCGCGAGAGGGCGUCGCGCUCGCUACGAAUGAUGCCGCCGCGGCUUAGCGAACAUACAGUUCCUCUAUAAGCAUUAUAAUAUGCAAUAUUAUAGCUGCUUGACUGGUCAAACAGUAGCCCAACUACGGGAAGGAACUGCGAUCGCUAAACUGGGACGUCGCACGCGCCGAUGUUAUGGUUAUUGAAUUUCUAAUUGUUUUGGUACGUUACAUUUUGUUUACUUUCAUAUUACGAUUAUAUUGUAAAUAAAAAUAAAAAGCUUUGGAUUUGAA